CCAAACUUGGUCAUUUAGAGGAAGUAAAAGUCGUAACAAGGUUUCCGUAGGUGAACCUGCGGAAGGAUCAUUCACAAUUGCAAAGUGAUUUAUGGCACUUUUCAAAAAAAAAAUCCAUAUCCACCUUGUGUGCAACGUUUGUGCCCCUUCCUCUCCUUUCUCUGUCUGAGAAAGGGGAGAGGUUUAAAGGCAUUCUCAUCAACUUAUAUUUGUCUGUAACAAGAAUCGUCUGAAGAAAUAAUUUUUUUAAAAAUUAAAAAAACAACUUUCAACAACGGAUCUCUUGGCUCUCGCAUCGAUGAAGAACGCAGC
rnacentral:misc_RNA from 1 species